GACUAGCGUAUAAUGCAGUCGAGCGGACAGAUGGGAGCUUGCUCCCUGAUGUCAGCGGCGGACGGGUGAGUAACACGUGGGUAACCUGCCUGUAAGACUGGGAUAACUCCGGGAAACCGGGGCUAAUACCGGAUGCUUGAUUGAACCGCAUGGUUCAAUUAUAAAAGGUGGCUUUUACCUACCCCUUACAAAGGACCCCCCGCCCCAUUACCUAUUUGGGGAGGUACCGCCCCACCAGGGCAACAAUGCUUACCCAACCUGAAAGGGUGACCGCCCCCCCGGGAACUAAAACCCGCCCCAAACUCCUACGGAAGGCACCAGUAGGAAAUCUCCCCCAUGGAACAAAAUUCUAACGAACCACCCCCCCGUGAUUAAUAAAGGUUUUCGAAUCUAAAACCUCUGUUGUUAGGAAAAAAAAUUCCCGUUCAAAUAGGGCGGUCCCUUGACGGUCCCUAACAAAAAACCCACGGUUAACUACUUGCCACCACCCGCGGUAAUCCUUAGGUGGCAACCUUUGCCCGAAAUUAUGGGCCGAAAACCGCGCGCAGGCGUUUUCUUAAUUCUAAUGUAAAACCCCGGGUUCCCCGGGGAGGUUCUUGAAACUGGGAAUUUGAUUCCAAAAAGGAGAGGAAU
rnacentral:rRNA from 1 species